GUAAAGAGCUCGUAGGUGGUUUGUCGCGUUGUUCGUGAAAUCUCACGGCUUAACUGUGAGCGUGCGGGCGAUACGGGCAGACUUGAGUACUGCAGGGGAGACUGGAAUUCCUGGUGUAGCGGUGGAAUGCGCAGAUAUCAGGAGGAACACCGGUGGCGAAGGCGGGUCCCUGGGCAGUAACUGACGCUGAGGAGCGAAAGCGUGGGGAGCGAACAGGAUUAGAUACCCUGGUAGUCCACGCCGUAAACGGUGGGUACUAGGUGUGGGUUUCCUUCCUUGGGAUCCGUGCCGUAGCUAACGCAUUAAGUACCCCGCCUGGGGAGUACGGCCGCAAGGCUAAAACUCAAAGAAAUUGACGGGGGCCCGCACAAAGCGGCGGAGCAUGUGGAUUAAUUCGAUGCAACGCGAAGAACCUUACCUGGGUUUGACAUGCACAGGACGCCGGCAGAGAUGUCGGUUCCCUUGUGGCCUGUGUGCAGGUGGUGCAUGGCUGUCGUCAGCUCGUGUCGUGAGAUGUUGGGUUAAGUCCCGCAACGAGCGCAACCCUUGUCUCAUGUUGCCAGCGGGUAAUGCCGGGGACUCGUGAGAGACUGCCGGGGUCAACUCGGAGGAAGGUGGGGAUGACGUCAAGUCAUCAUGCCCCUUAUGUCCAGGGCUUCACACAUGCUACAAUGGCCGGUACAAAGGGCUGCGAUGCCGCGAGGUUAAGCGAAUCCUUUUAAAGCCGGUCUCAGUUCGGAUCGGGGUCUGCAACUCGACCCCGUGAAGUCGGAGUCGCUAGU
rnacentral:rRNA from 1 species